UUCUUCCCUAGAGCCCACCCAGGCCCUGGACUUGGCCCUGGUGGAGCAGCAACGGGGAGGGCGGAGGAGAAGCCGGCACACCAUGUCUCCAGAGUCUGGGCAGCCGAGUGCAGUGGUCAGGAGCCAGGGGGUGGACACAACCGGUCUCCCUCAUUCCCUGGCUGUGUGACUAUAGAUAAGUGACCAGUCUCUCUGAGUCACAAUGUCCUCCCUCGUAUGAGGGGACUACAGCUAUGCUUCAUCAAGGAGGCAGGGCGUGGGAGUUAAGUGUGAACUCAGAAGCCUCCGUUUGUACAUGGCUCUGUCAUUUAUUUCCUAUGUGCCUUUGAAGCACCUCUAGGUGUGACCUUUCUGUGCCUCAGUGUCCUCAUCAGUAAAAUGGGAAUAAUAGCAGUUCCUGUAUCACAGGGCUACUGUGAGAAUCGGAUGACAUAACAAACACAAAGUGCUUAGAAGAGUAUCUGGUUCACAGCAAGCACUAUAUAUGUAUUCGCGGUCAUUUUUGUCAUUGGACUAGUGUGAAGAUAAAAUGAGAUUAUUUGUAUGCAAGAUACUUAUUAACAGUGCCUGUUACCAUGGUGAGCAUGAAGCUAAUGGCAUUUACGAAAAUAUUACUUAAUAGUAAUAAAUUAGAAUCCCAAACUUGUAAGUCCCACACCGGUCUGCUACUGCAGCCUCUUUCUCCACGGACAGAGCAGGAUUCAUACCUUCAUCCCAGUUAGCAGGCCAGCGUCACAAGGGCUCAUGAAGCCGGGCCUGGACUCCGCUGCUCCGGAGCUCCCGCCCCAAAGCUGGCAUGCUGGCCCUUUGCAGCUGCGCUGCGUCCGCCCGAGUCACACACACGAGUCAUCUCUCUUUGCUGGGAUGCAUUUAGCAGAAGGUGGGCCAGGGCUGACCUGCGCUGCAAGAGGCACUGGGCUAACUGUUGACAUAUGGAGAUAAGAGACACUGCCCAGCCUCAGAGCACACAGUCCAGGGAGGAGACUGACACACGAAUGCAGGGUCACCGACAGGCAGGCACACGGUCCCAAGAGGAGACGGCGCCACGGCGGCCAAGGCAGACUAUUCGUGGUCACCUGCGAUUCUUCACCCCAAAUACCAUGGUUCCAAAGAGAGGUGACAGAGCCCUGAGUCCCUCCUCAAGACAAGAACGAACACAGGAGGUAAUACAUUCUUUUUCUCUUUCACUGUUGAGAACUGCACAUGUGUUUGCUCAUCAACCAGUAAACUAAGUGCAGGGCUCCCUGCUGGGUGCUGGGGAGCCGGCAGUGAACAAGGUGUCCCAGCAGGGACACACCAAAUCCUCAUGUAUUUAAGAACCAGAGGCCAAAGAACUACAACUCAACAACGGCAACAAAAAACGAACAACCUGAUUAGAAAAUGGGCAAAGGAUUUGAACAGACCUUUCUCCAAAUGGCCAACAGGUACAUGAAGAGAUGCUCAUGUCACUAGCAUGAGGGAAAUGCAAAUCAAAACCACAUGAGAUAACAC